AGGCCUCGCCUGCCCUGUGACUAUAUGUUUAACGGCCGCGGUAUCUUGACCGUGCAAAGGUAGCGUAAUCAAUUGUCUUUUAAAUGGAGACCAGUAUGAAUGGCGCAACGAGGGCUUAACUGUCUCCUUUUCUUGGUCAAUGAAAUUGAUCUCCCCGUGCAGAAGCGGGGAUAAAAACAUAAGACGAGAAGACCCUGUGGAGCUUUAGACGCUGGAACAGCCAGAUGUUUAAGAUGUCUCAUUAAAAGACAGCAAUUCAAAGUUCCUGUUCCUAUGUCUUUGGUUGGGGCGACCACGGAGUAAAAGAAAACCUCCGCGUGGAACGGGAGUACUACUCCUCAAAACCAGGGCUACCGCCCUAAUUAUCAGAACUUCUGACCUUACAGAUCCGGUUUUAAACCGAUUAGCGAAUCAAGUUACCCCAGGGAUAACAGCGCAAUCCCCUUUAAAAGGCCAUAUCUAAAAGGGGGUUUACGACCUCGAUGUUGGAUCAGGACAUCCUAUUGGUGUAGCAGCUAUUAAGGGUUCGU
rnacentral:rRNA from 1 species